GAUGAACGCUGGCGGCGUGCCUAAUACAUGCAAGUCGAGCGAACAGACGAGGAGCUUGCUCCUCUGACGUUAGCGGCGGACGGGUGAGUAACACGUGGAUAACCUACCUAUAAGACUGGGAUAACUUCGGGAAACCGGAGCUAAUACCGGAUAAUAUAUUGAACCGCAUGGUUCAAUAGUGAAGGACGGUUUUGCUGUCACUUAUAGAUGGAUCCGCGCCGCAUUAGCUAGUUGGUAAGGUAACGGCUUACCAAGGCGACGAUGCGUAGCCGACCUGAGAGGGUGAUCGGCCACACUGGAACUGAGACACGGUCCAGACUCCUACGGGAGGCAGCAGUAGGGAAUCUUCCGCAAUGGGCGAAAGCCUGACGGAGCAACGCCGCGUGAGUGAUGAAGGUCUUCGGAUCGUAAAACUCUGUUAUUAGGGAAGAACAAAUGUGUAAGUAACUAUGCACGUCUUGACGGUACCUAAUCAGAAAGCCACGGCCAACUACGUG
rnacentral:rRNA from 1 species